GUAUAAGAGACAGCAGUCGCCGCGGUAAUACAGAGGGUGCGAGCGUUAAUCGGAUUUACUGGGCGUAAAGCGUGCGUAGGCGGCUUCUUAAGUCGGAUGUGAAAUCCCUGAGCUUAACUUAGGAAUUGCAUUCGAUACUGGGAAGCUAGAGUAUGGGAGAGUAUGGUAGAAUUCCAGGUGUAGCGGUGAAAUGCGUAGAGAUCUGGAGGAAUACCGAUGGCGAAGGCAGCCAUCUGGCCUAAUACUGACGCUGAGGUACGAAAGCAUGGGGAGCAAACAGGAUUAGAUACCCCUGUAGUCCCUGUCUCUUAUAC
rnacentral:rRNA from 1 species